rnacentral:tRNA from 1 species
UCCCAGAUAGUGUAAUGGCAGCACGGCAGGUUUUGGACCUGUCGGACUAGGUUCGAGUCCUAGUCUGGGAG